rnacentral:rRNA from 1 species
AGUGAACGCCGGCGGUAGGCCUAACACAUGCAAGUCGAACGGCAGCACAGUAAGAGCUUGCUCUUACGGGUGGCGAGUGGCGGACGGGUGAGGAAUACAUCGGAAUCUACUUUUUCGUGGGGGAUAACGUAGGGAAACUUACGCUAAUACCGCAUACGACCUACGGGUGAAAGCAGGGGAUCUUCGGACCUUGCGCGAUUGAAUGAGCCGAUGUCGGAUUAGCUAGUUGGCGGGGUAAAGGCCCACCAAGGCGACGAUCCGUAGCUGGUCUGAGAGGAUGAUCAGCCACACUGGAACUGAGACACGGUCCAGACUCCUACGGGAGGCAGCAGUGGGGAAUAUUGGACAAUGGGCGCAAGCCUGAUCCAGCCAUACCGCGUGGGUGAAGAAGGCCUUCGGGUUGUAAAGCCCUUUUGUUGGGAAAGAAAAGCAGCAGGUUAAUACCCCGCUGUUCUGACGGUACCCAAAGAAUAAGCGCCGGCUAACUUCGUG